rnacentral:lncRNA from 1 species
AGGUUUGCAAAAUAAGCUAAGGAAGAGCAAGAAAACCUAGGGAUAAAAAUGUAUUUUUCUUUUAUUUGUCUGCUGGACAAAAAGUUGUCCACCACUUUAGUGGGUAACAAAAAAGUGGGUAGUUAUCCUGUCCUUAGUAUAUUUUUUUGUGCUGUCAUAUUUUUCUUUUUUAAAACAAAUGUUGGACAACUAUAUUUUUUAUUUUGUCACGUCCUUUUGCAAAUCAAACGCAACCUAUAUGUUUUAAGUUUCAAAUUAAGUUUCACGUCACUGAUUAAAAAAAAAAAAUUUAAGUUCCGGGUUGUAUAAAAAUAUAUUGAAAGAGACUUUGAAAAAAAAACACUAAAUUGCAAGUUGUAAAAUAUAAAAGACACUCAAUAGCGUUUUUGUGAUGAAGUGCUACUAAAUAUAGGAUAUAUGAUAAAGCUUUUGAAGCCCAAAAAAGCGCUAUAGUAGCAUUUUUCUAGUUAAUGUUAUUAAAUAAUUAAAAUCAAAUAAAUAUUCAUUCUACUGCUAAUGUAUUAAUUAGAGAGACCUAUUUUUCAUGCUAGUCCAAAUUUAGUUUUAUAAUAAAACAUAAAAUUUUAGAACUAUUAACGAAGAAAAAAUUAUUUCGUUAUUUUGUAUGAUUUUUUCAAAAGAACUCAAAGGAGUAUUAUUUAGUGUCUUAUUUCAUUUAUCGUCACUUUAGAGUACAAAGCUAUAGUUUCAAGGUAGGUUUGAUUACCAAUUGAAAAAAUAAAAACAAAAUUAUUCAAUGUUUAAUACAAUUAUUGAAGAGAUUAUUUGUUUGUAGGAGAAUUCAAUCUUUCCAGCACGGCAUUCACAAUAGCUAUGAAUGCACACAGAAAGUUCAUAUUGCCUACAGAAAGUUCAAGCAACUGUAAGAUUUAACUUUUUUCAAAACAACAAAAAACAAAAGAAAUAAAAUUAUAGCUACAACAAAGUUAAGUUGAGAAUAUGAAAUCAAAGUUGCAAGGUGCGUGAAUUUGUGUAACAACCAAAAUCAAGACAAUUUAAUUUCAUUACCAACAUUAUCUCUUUUUUUUUUAUUGGAAUGCAUUAUCAACAUUAUAUUAGCAAAAUAAAGCAAAAUAAAAAAUAAAAAAAUAUGAUGAUUGGUUCCUUACUAGUAGAAGUCAUUCUACCCAAGUAAUUUAAGACAAUAGCCAUGACUGCAAAUAGCAAUGAAGUAGUUGGGUCUCAUGACUUCAUCAGAACAAUCUUUAGCGGUUUUACAUUUGAUAGUAAUCCGCCUCUGUAAUAAAAAAUAGAAAAAAAAAUAAAAUUAUUGCGAGAGCUAACUUAAUGGUUUUAUCCAUUUUUUUCUUCCUUUUUGUAUAUAACAAAGAGAAUACGAUUUUAUCAAUUUAUAGUGUACAAAACUCACCAAAUUUUAAAACAAUUUAAUAAUUUUUAGCACUUAAGUUUACCAAAAUGUCUUGUAUUUGCCUCUUUAGAAUAUUUAAUAAAUGUCUUUUCGGUAUAUUAAUGUGUUGAGUUUGUCCCUUAAACACACUUACCGAUCAAGUGAUAUGAAAAUUAAAUAAUUGUAGAAUUUAGGGACUAAUACAUAUUGAAGUUGUUUUUUUAUUAUACUUUUUUAUAUAAAAUCAUUUGAUUGUUGAGACCUAAUAUCUGAACUAUGCAGCCACCUCAGCAAGACAACUUUCUUAUGGAACAUCCAAUUAAAUAUAUUAAUAAUAUAACUUAAGAAUCAAAGUUUAAUUAUUGUGCAGUGUCAAGUGUUUUAAAAAUAAGAGUUUAUAAUUCACCAAAAAAAAAGAAGUUUAUAUAUGCAUCCAAUAACAUGUUACUACAUUAUUUAAUGAAUGUGACACGUCAUGUAUUUUAAAACAAAUUACAUAUUGGUCAAUAUAUUAUUGGAUAUAGGUGCUCUUUUGGCUUUGGUUGUUGCCGGGUCAACCUAGUUUGGUUCUUUUGAUCUUGUCCAAAAUUUGAUGUAAAAAAUUUGUUGAGCCGCUAAACAAUUUGUGGUUACGUUCAUUCCACACAACCCACACACAAGCAAGUCAUAUGAGUUGCAUGAAGGUACGCCGUGCUCGAAAACAACUCGUUGAUGUAGUGAACUGAACGAAAUGAUCUAAAAGGAUCUGAGCUGUCACCGAUGAAGAGCCAAUCCAUGAGCUAAUAAGAGACCAAAGACGACCAAAUGUGCUGCAAGAGAGGAACAAGUGCUGAGCCGACUCAACCUCACCACAACCCGAAACACAAAAAUGAGCCGCCGAGGAUAAAAUACGUCGAGAGACCAGGUUUUCUCUGGCAGGUAACCUGUCCCGCAAAAGUCGCCAAUCAUAUCUUAUGUUUAUGGGUUGUGUGGUUAAUAAAAAUUUGCAGUUCAAAAAAAAAAAGAUACAUGUGUGUAAAAUAAGUUUACACCGACUAUAUAUAUAAAUUAAAUUCUAAAAAUAAGUGCCGGCAUAAACCUAAUGUUUGGCAAGAUGGAUCAGUCAUGAUGGAUCAGUCAUGAAAAUAUACUUAAGUUUUUCUUCAAGUGGUCCAUGAUGGAUCAGUCAUAAAUAACGUUCGAACUAAUAUGAAUUUCACAAAAUCUACCGUUGGAUUGAAUGUUUAUAUCAUAUAGAUCGUCCAUAAAAAAAAUUAGCAAAAUUGAAAAUCAUUUGAUAUGUCAUUGAGACCCAUUAAGAUUAACGAUUUAUGGGUUUUUCUUAAAUACCAUUAAUCUUGAUAGCUCUCAAUAACAUAGUUAUGAAUGGAUUUUUUUAUCAGGUUAGUUUGCUUAGUUUUGAAAUUUGUUUCCUGUAAGUUUUAUUCCUCAAAUUCAAUGUUAUACAAUGUUAUUCAAUGCCUCAUUUGAAAUUUUUUGUAGUGAGUUUUCAAUGUUAGGUCAAAAGUUUCAAGCGAAUGCGGAAGGUAAUUCCGAUGAGCUUGUAGAUCCACCGAAGGUGGAGGAUAAUAUCGGCGCUGUCCCACAUGGACUUUCAACAGAUUCGGAGGUGGUUAAGAGGUGGUCAGGGACGGACAUAAGGGGGGUAAGUAGGGGCUGAGGCCCCCACUCUUGUCGUAUUUUUUUUUCAUAUACUUGUUCUUGAUAUAUAUGUACACAUAAAUUGAUAUUUGAGAGAUGUGUUUAAAGAUUAGUAACGACCGUUUGGUGCAAAACAUGUACCCACAACAUAGUAAUCGUAACAAUUUAUUUUAAAAUAUUUUGAUAAUAUAUAUUUUACACUACUAAAGUCCAAAUUCAAUUAAGUUAGUUUUGAUUGUUUGCUACAAGUGAGAGAUGAUUUUCUGCUAUGAAGAUUGUGAAAAAUAGGUUGAGAAACAAGAUAGAAAAUGAAUUUCAAACUAAUUAUGUGAUUACUUACACCGAGAAAAAAAUUGCUAAAAAAUUUAAUCCAGGUUUGCAUAGCUAACCUUCAAUUUAAGCAUCUAUUUUUAUAUCAUUACAUUAGAUUAGUUAAUUAGUUUAUUUUUGCUAUAUUUUUUUUGUUAAUUUAUGACGAAUACCUAAGAAAUUCUUAUAGUUAAUUGCUUUUUUAGUGGUUUAUUUUGUAUAAUUAAACCGUGUUAUGUACGGUUAUAGAUUAAGUUAGAUAAAGAAAAGAAAAUUCAAUCUAUUAGAGACAAAGGUAAAUAAAAUUUUAGUGAACACUAAGUUUAAUUAGUGUUCUUAUACUUUAAUUAGUUGAGAAAGUUAGGAUUUAUAUAACUUGUNUUGAGGAGAAAAAGAUUGUGAGUUUGUAAUUUAUGAAUGUUGAAUUUCAUCCAUUCCAUUGUGCUCCAUAAAUUUAAACAGAGAUUUAGGCAAUUGUUAAGCAUUGAAUUUGAACUCAAUUUGGAAUAUCCAACGAACCACCUGGGCUGGAAAUUUAUUGAUAGAUGCAGAACACAAACUAUUUUUACAAUGUACCAUUUGCAUUUUCUUUUUAAUUAUUACUCACAAAACAGGUUCUUGACAUCAAUUGCAUUUUUCAUUUUUGUUUUUUAUCUUCUUUCUGAAAAAUAGUGUUUUUAGUAUAAGUAAUUAUCAAGAUUGGAUGAGGAAGAAUGAAAACUAACGUGUUUUUAGUAUAAGUAAUUAAAAAGAAGCCGUGGUAGUUGGUCAUUGGUGAAUCUCAAUUUCCAUUGUUGAGAUAACAGAUUCAUAUUUUGUUUACACAUGUCACUCAGAUUAUUGUCAUUGCAUGUUAUGCUCUAUUUUUGCCACCUUCAGUAUUUGUUGUGUCAUAGGUCAUAUAUGUUGUCCAGUCUCUUGAAAUGCCAUUUUACAUAUAUCCUUAUGCUCAAUUCUACAGUUUUUCAUUCAAGUUAGGUUAGAGUGACCCAUAAUUUCUUAAUUAAGUAUAUAUUGUUUUUCAUAUGCUUUAUAGGUCAUAUGCUCAAUUGAAUAGUGUAAGAAAAGGAAAACCAAGGAAAAAGCAUGAAAGAAUAGCGGUUAAAUUUUGCGACUUCCAGAUAGGCCACACUCAAGAUUUACGUGGCAAACAUUAUUAGCCACGGGUAAAUCCCCAUUUAGCUAUGGUCUUGACCGUGACUAAACCACAAAUUUUUUUGUAGUGAAUGGUGAUCCACCAUAGCAUCAGCCUAAGUCUUUAUACUUGUUUUUGUAUCAUCAAACUUCAUUUGCAUGGAUUCUUUGCCUUUGGUUAAUCACUUGCAUCAUCUCCCUCUCUUCUUCCUCUUCCUUGCAAUUCUUCAUUAGUCUCUCGUUAUCUUUUCAAGCUUAAUGGUCUUAUUGAAGAUGUGAAAACACAAGAAGGAGGGGUUGAAUUGUGUUUUAAGAUAAAUUAAAACUUUUUCGAAGUUUUAUCUUAAGCAAAGAUUACAGCGGAUAAAGCAAAGUAAACACAAUAAGAGAGAUCAGAGGGAGAGAAAAGACACAGCAGAUUUAUACUAGUUCCUCUCGCAAAACGAGAGUAGUUCAGUCCCUUGAUAUUUUGCUGUAAUUUGGAGAUACUUAUAUGCUAUGUUUAUGAUGGAACAUAUUCUUGCAGAUAUGAAUUUUUAGUUUGAUAUGAACUUUCAAAUUAAAAAUUGAUGAUACAAUUUAAUGUGAAUUAUUUAUAUGAAUACAUUUAAUUUCUAAAAAAAAAAAGGACGAAAAGUAAAUAUUCUGUCACAGGAUUGGAAAAAACAAAAAUACGCUGUGGGGACGGAAUGUGAAUAUUCGGUCACUUUUUUGAGACGGAAUUAAAUCAUUAUGUCGUAGUAUUGGGACGAAACGUAAUUUUUCGUGUCAAUGAAUUUGCAAUGCUCUAAUUGCGACGAAAUAAUUUUGUCACAACCUUAUAAAGAGAAGAGAAAACAAUUUUAUUUCAUUUCAUUACCAACCUUAUCUUAGAGUACAAUAUUAAAGUUGCAAGUGCGUGAAAUUAAGAAAAGUAAAUUAUUGGUUGCUUGUUGGGAGAAGUAAUUCUACCCUACAUACGGUGUUCUUGUUGGAAAUAUGGAUUGACUACCGAUACACAAUAACCAUUUUCACAAUGAGCAACGGCCAAGUCGGCUGAUAUGACACAAACCGGACAAUCUUUAGCGGAGGUACAUUUGAUAGAUGUUUUAGUGUAGAUAAAAGGCCUAAGUUCAGUAGGAUCAGUACUUGCAACCUCCUCUCUAAAACAAAAUAGGAAAACAAAUAAAAUUAUAGUGGGAAACUUAAUAGUUUUAUCCAUAUUUCUUUUCUUCCCGUAUGUAAUGUUAGAAUACGAUUUUGUUAAUUUAUAUUGUAUAAAGCUCAUCAAAUGUUUUUUUUUUCUUUCUUUUUAACGGAAAAACAAUUAAAUAUUUUUUGUUGCCCAAUUUUCUGUACUUGACUCUUUAGAACACUUAGGAGAUGUCUUUUCGGUAUUCUUAAACAAUUUUAAAAUAUAGGGAGUAUUCUUAAAUACAGAGCAAAAUGUAGGUACUAAAAAAAUAUUUAAUCCUAUAUAAAUUAAAUUGUCAAGUCAGCGUUCUGUUAGUAGAAUACACGAAAGGACCAAACUUGAUAAUGAAAGAUAUUAUAGGAUUUUUUCUUACACAACUUUUAAAAUACUCCCUCAGUCCCAAAAUAUAAGCAAAAGUGGGUCAGCAAAAGUGAAUAUAUCUGGACUAAAUUUUAAACCAAAUUCAUCAAUUUUUGUUGACCUAUUUUUGCUUAUAUUUUGAGAGGGAGGGAGUAUAGGAACAUUAUUAAAUAUAUAAAAUACAAUUUAGACACUAAAAACAUAUUUAACCCUAUUAAUAAUAACUAUUACAAACCAGAGGUGACAUAAACAAAAACUCGAUGACAAAACUAAUAGUACCUAAAAUUUGGCAAUGAAAACUGUUAGAGCAAUAUCGUGACAAUAUUGCUCCAUCCAUUCAUACUCGUGAGCGACCCUUCUCCUUUGAAGAACUUCGUAGCCACUUGCUUGCUCAUGAUGAAUAUAUUCAUCGUGAAUCUCAAGUUGAAAAUCAAGUUCCAACUGCAAACCUAGCCCAUAAAAACUUCAAACAUGAUGAUCUCCCACGAACACCAUCAUCUGGUCGUGGUCACUCAUCUUUCACUCCACGUGGCUCACACUCUGCUCGAGUUUACGGUCGAGGCAAAUCCAAAGGUUCUAACUUUCGUGGCAAUAAACCCCUUCAACGUUGCCAAUUUUGCUCAACUAUUGGGCAUAUUGCUCUCUGUUGUCCAUAGAUUCCCCAACCAAGCAACCCCCCAAUGGCUCACUAUGCUUAUGCUAACCCACCAACUCCAAUAGGGUACUAGAUACUGGAGCCAUUCACCAUGUUGCAAACAAUCUCAACAACAUGCAUAUUUACUCUGAAUAUGAUGGCUCUCAAGAAGUUCAGAUCGGUGAUGGUACAGGUUUAAAAAUCUCUCAUAUUGGCUCAGCCACACUUCCUACACCAAACUCAACUUUUAAUCUCAAAAAUAUUCUUUGUGUUCCUUAUUUCUGUUUCUAAAUUUUGUAAAUCUAACAAUGUUUAUGUUGAAUUUCAUUCCUCUUUUUUUCUGUGUGAAGGAUCAGGUGAUGGGUGCGGUUUUGAUGCACAGUCUAAGUAACAGUGAUCUAUAUACCUAUAGCCCAACCUUCAACUCUCCCAUGGCACUAUCCACAACUAUGUCCACCAUAGAUCUUUGGCAUGCAAGAUUUGGUCAUCCAUCUCCAAAAAUUCUUACACAAAUGAUGUCUAUGUGUGGUCUAUCUAGGAAUUUUAAUAAUAAAACCAUGCAUUGUAAUUCUUGUUCUAUCAAUAAAGGUCACAAACUUCCAUUUUCUAUAUCCUUUAUACAUACUACUUCUCCUCUUGAACUUAUUAUUUUUUAUGUUUGGGGACCAUCCCAUAUAUUGUCAAUAAAUGGUUACAAAUAUUAUAUUGUGUUUGUCGAUCAUUUCACUAGCUACACAUGGAUCUUUGUUUUUGUUUUUAUUUUUAAUUUUUUUAAAAAAAGGGGUUCAAGGGGUCAAGGGUUCGAAACCUACCCACCACCCUUUUUAAUUAAUUUCAAACGCAGGUUACAUGCUUUAAAAGCGUUUUUUUAAAAGCGCUAUCAUAAUGCUUUUCGUUUUGGGCUUUAACAGCGGUUUCUUUACAAAACGCUAUUAUAAAGUUCACAAGUUGGAGCUUUUAAUAGAGGUUUUCAUACAAACGCUAUCAUAAGGGCUCCGUUUUAAGUUUUAAUAGCACUUUCUAAAUAAGCGCUAUUAAAAGGGCGCUAUUAAGAGGGCGCUAUUAAAACUCAUUUUUGUAGUAGUGUUUAGAGUAGUUUUAGUAGCAAUUGAAGACCAAAUACAAGCAAAUACCUAAAGUUACGAAGUUACUUGUCCAAGAAUCAAGAAAAGUAGAAAAUUCAUAAAAAAGGUCAAAAAAGGAUGGAAUUGAAGAAUCCAUCGUACCCACGAUGGAUGGCCAUCGUAGAACGAUGAAGCAAUACGCACAUCGUACCAAAAUUGUGAUAACUAGAGCUACGAGUUUCGGAUCGAGGCCCGUGACUAUGCGUUGGAAAAAUAAGACAAGGAGCUACAACUUUAGCGUUGGAGCAAAAAUCAAAUUAUGGACGUCAUCAUGGCUACGAUGGGUUACAUCGUGGUCACAAUGACAAGCAAACAUGGCCGAAAACAUACAAACCAUCGUACCCACGAUGAUGACGGCAAAAGCACAUAGAGAAUCCGAGAAAAUCUUUCAUCGUACUACGAUAAGAUCCAUCGUGGCCACGAUGAGGCGAAUUUGAACGCCAUCGUGGCUACGAUGGGUACGAUGGGUCGCAGGAAAAAGCCCAAACCCAGCUGAAAAACUAUAAAUAGAGCUCUCCUCCUUCGAAAUUAUUCAUUCAGAAGUUCAGAUAACUAUAAGCUCUCUAAGGAGCAAAGGAGGAGGAGGCAAGGAGGGCUCAGGAGCUCUAAAGAGAGGGAGACUCUUCCCCACCAUCGGGAGACGAAACUUCCUCUGCAAGGAUUCGAGGUUAUUUUUAUGCAUGUUUUCUUUAUUGUUCAAUAUGCUUAAUAGUAGCUAAGUCCCUUUAGGUUAGGGCAAGUAGAUGACCUCCCGUAUGAAUGAUUGAGAAAAUGUAAUCUGGUUACUUCUAAGUUUAUAUAUAAAUUGCUAUUCAUUUAUUAUCUGUCUGUAUUUGUAUUUAUCGUUUUAUACACUUUCAUAUAUGAAUGGCCAUAUAUACUGUUAGUAACUAGGGUCGAAGUGGAUACCGAGACACCUCUAAGGCUUCGGAAACAAAGGGAUACUAUAACCCACUUACAUGAGACCAUUAAAUUCAGUAUUGAGGUGAGGUUAGAGAUUAAGAAUUACACAUAGCUAAAUUCUGUACUGAUAUUAGGGAACCAGUUAUGCUAGAGAACUUGUUAAAUUAGGAACCUUUAAAAGUAAGGAUGCCUAUUAAAGGCUAAACUCGUUAAGAUAAUGACAAGAAAUAACGAAGGCUAAACCUAAUUUGAUUGAUUCACCCUAGACAGAUUACAAUAGAAGUAAGUAUAGUUAUACUAGGCUUACUUUAAUAGAAAUUAAUCUCCAGAUAAUACGUCAAUAGUGAGCAGAUAUAGCGCCAAUUACCAAGCAGAAAUAGGGGAGGAAUUCGAAAGCACUUAACCUAGUUUUAUCAUCUUGAACUCUUUAUUUUAUCUUUGGUCUUAUACUAUCUAACUUUGUCUCAAAACCUUUUUCAAACAAACAAAGCAAAACCAAAACUAUCCUAAUUCCUAACCGAAACUAAUAGCUUUGGCACAUUCACUGUCAACACUAUACAAACCAAGUGUUGUGAAUUCGUCUUUAAAAUCACACCAAUGAUAACUUGAUGUGUGGAGCAAUAGAACAACAACCAAAUCACAAUUGGAAUAAGCAAUAAUAAUAAUAACUGAUAAAAACGAUAAAUGAGAAGAAAGAACACGAUAAUUUGUUUAGCCAGUUCGGUNNNNNNNNNNNNNNNNNNNNNNNNNNNNNNNNNNNNNNNNNNNNNNNNNNNNCAAAGAGUAACUUUACAAAGAAAUUCCCAAUUGGGUUACAAGAAUUAAUCAUAAUUCUGUCCAAAACACGAAUGUCUUCUCGUGGCCAAAAGACUCAAUUUGAUAUGUGUAUCCCAAGGUAUACCAUAAAGAUAGUUCGCCCACCCUAGAGUUGUACCAAGAGAAAAAUCUCUUUUUCCUCUCUAAAACCCUAGCCCUUGUGUGGUGGCAAACCCUAAUCAUUGCCUCUACAUCACCCACUCCCUAAUUAUUGAAAAAUAUAUGCCAAAAAAUUAGUAAGAAAUCUGUUUUAAAAUAAAACAAAUCCAAGUCAGAAUGUCCUCCGAAAAAAGAUAUUUUUCCCAAAAAAAUCUCCAAAACAGCAAAGAUGCAAAAAAAUUCAACAAAGAUUUUUUCUGACUUCUUGUAACUGAGAUUUCAAGGCGAUCCAACAGCAAGAGCAGAAGAACCAUCAAAUGGUGAAACAUCAAUAAACUAGAAGAGGAACCAUUGCAAUCUAUCUUCAAAUUUCAGAUGCAAUGAAUACAAUAAUCAAAUUAUCUUCAGAAUAGAAAACAGUUGUAGGAAAGAAGUUAUUACUAAAGCACCGCAGCGACGAUGGCAAGAUUUACGGCGAUUGGACCUUCAAAAACGACAAGAUCAACCAAAUGUAGAUUGAAUCCAACGCAAGUUCCAACGCACAAAAAUGAUAACAAGAACCAACAAUCACACCAAAGUUAAAAAUGGAGUGGAGAUAGAAGUAGACUGAAACCUGAAAUCAGUAGGAGAUGAAUCAUGAAUCGCGAUAACAGCAAAACUAAAUCGCAAGAAUCUCAAAACGAAAUUGCGAAUAAAAUUGAAAUCAUAAACCCUAGAAUUUGUGAAAGGAUGAAGAAUUGCGAUUAGAAAUCGCAGAAUGAAAAUGAAAUAGGAAUUGAUCGGUAACAAUGAGGAACAAAUUUAUGGUUAUGAAAAAUAACAAAACGAAAAACUGACAUCAAAUCUGCGAAGAAAGAAGGUGAGUGAAUCGAAACUGAAUCAAGAUCAAAGAAUUGAAACUGAAUCAAGAUCCAAAUUCAAAACUAAUCAAAAUUGAGAAACAAUAUUUUAUCGAGAAACAACAGAAAAAUGAAGAUGAAUGAGAAAAGAAACUGAGAAAUGAGAAAAUUAGAUUUUCUAGGAUGAAAUGCAGCAGAAAAAUUUGUUCAAGGUGGAUACUGAAUUUGCUCUGAUACCAUGUUGAAAAACAUGGCAUCGAUAGGAGGAGAGAAAAUAGUUCAGAAGUGUAUAAUAUUGAUCAGGGAAAAAUAUUACGAAUGAGAAAAGUGAGAGUAAAAUAUUACAACAAAACCUAUAUAUAGUCAUCAAGAAACUACCGACUUAUCCUUCUAAUUACUAACUAAAUCUUUAACGAUUUUUAUUCUUUCUUCAUCGGUGAGUGGUGAUUUUAGGUCAUUUUUUGGCCUAAAAUCACCCCCUCGGCAUAUUUUUUUUCUUGAUUUCAAUCUAAAUAAGUGAUUUUCACAUAGAUUAAGUUUUUUAGUUUUUCUUUCUUUUGUUGUGAUAUCGUCGUCUGAGUGCGGCGUUGUGUUGUUAGUCGUCAUUAGUACGGCGUUUGAUUUCCCAUCUUGUUGCGGUGUUCGUUUAGUUCGUAUUGAAAGAUCAACUUCAAUCAAUUGCAGAUUCAAUCAAUGAUCCGGGCAUCAUCUGGAAGCAUGGACAUUCCAGUAACUUUAAGGGGGGUGUAUUGGAUUAUGAUUUCACAAGAAAAUUUUAGCAAAAAAAAUCUUGAAGAUUUUAAAAGACUUUGUGAGAUUGUAUUGAUUUUAUGAGAUUUUAGAAGACUUUUUUGAAUGACUUUUUCAAUCAAGAUUCUUAACACAAGAAUUUGUGAG